GUACCUUGACGGUACCUAACCAGAAAGCCACGGCUAACUACGUGCCAGCAGCCGCGGUAAUACGUAGGUGGCAAGCGUUGUCCGGAAUUAUUGGGCGUAAAGCGCNCGCAGGUGGUUCCUUAAGUCUGAUGUGAAAGCCCCCGGCUCAACCGNGGAGGGUCAUUGGAAACUGGGGAACUUGAGUGCAGAAGAGGAAAGUGGAAUUCCAAGUGUAGCGGUGAAAUGCGUAGAGAUUUGGAGGAACACCAGUGGCGAAGGCGACUUUCUGGUCUGUAACUGACACUGAGGCGCGAAAGCGUGGGGAGCAAACAGGAUUAGAUACCCUGGUAGUCCACGCCGUAAACGAUGAGUGCUAAGUGUUAGNGGGUUUCCGCCCUUUAGUGCUGCAGCUAACGCU
rnacentral:rRNA from 1 species